rnacentral:lncRNA from 1 species
AGGAAAGCCCAGCGACGCCGGGCCAGCGCAUUCUUAUUUUAUGUAUGAGCAAACUAUGGAAUGGAAAAGAGAUUAUGAGUUAUUACUUGAUUUGAUUUGCCCUAAGUGUUUUUUAAACGAAGAUCUGGCAAGAGUUAGCGUGCAGUUCUACAUUGUGACAAUUCAUGAGAGCUAAGGACUGGCUGUCUCUUGGGACAAAUAGGCUUUCUUGAGUCUGGAUGAGGCCCUCACCAGAUACAGCCACCUGAUCUUGGACUUCACAGCCUCCAGAAAUGUCCUAGGAAAGAAGUUGUUUCAACUCUCAUUGGAGGAAGUAUAAGGUGAUCUCAGGGAAGGGGAGAAGGGCUGGUUGCCUGCCAAAUCUAUGAUCAAGUCGGCUCCACAGUCAGUUUGCUUCCACUUCUAAGUGAGAACAUACAGUGUUUGGUUUUUCAUUCCUGAGUUACUUCACCUAGAACAAUGGCCUCCAGCUCCAUCCAAGUUGCUGCAGAAGACAUUUCAUUCCUUUUAUGGCUGAGUAGUAUUCCAUGGAGAUUCUGCACUAGAAAUUCCUCCCAGUCGAGGGCUUUUUUUCCCUCCUGUGAAAAAUAAACCAGAAGAAAGGAGAAGAUGUAUUUUUGUAAUUUAGUUUCAUGAUUUUAAGGACCAAAUCUCAGCUUUAUUUCUCUAGAAUAGGAAAUAGAGAUAUCGUUGUCAUCUUAUGUUUUUUCUCACUUGAUCUGAUCUAUGAUCUGUUGAAACUUGAUCAUCUGUUCUUGCAAGUGAGGUUUUGUUGCUACAUUUCUGAACUUCAAAAUUAGAAAAAUAAUAUCCUGAAGCUUCUAAUACUUACAGUUGAGCUGACUUUAUAUUCUGUUUACACCUACCAUUUUACAUAAAUCUUUAUGCCUUUUAUUUAGAAGACAACAUAAAAAUUAAAAGAGAAAAAAUAUCCCCCAUAUUCAUAAUACCUCUCUAUGGACUAUUCUUUUGUGGGAUAAGGUAGGUGGGAGAAUGGAAGAGUAGCAGACCCAUUAGAAUACAAAACAUGUGCCCUGGAAUACACUUGUGUCAGUGACAAAUGCUGCUUUGCUGUGCUACAUCGAGUACAAGGGAAAUACAUGGGCUAUCUUCAGCACAGAACACAAACUCUGCCUUCUUUUCUCAAGUCCAGUGAUUCAAGUUUGACACACCACACCACGGUGGAUGUGCCUUGUCAUGACACAUCUUCUCAGCAGCACUAGAAGAUACAUCCAAAGUCCUGUGAGCAAGGACACAGCGAGAAGAUGGCUGUCUACAAGCCAGGAAGAGAGUCCUCACCAGAACCAAACCCUGCUGGACUUUGAUCUUGGACUUCCCAGCCUCUAAAACUGUGAAGACAUAAAUUUCUGUUGUUAAACCCACACAGGUCUGUGGUAUCUGUUUAUUAUGGCAGCCCAGUAAGACUAAGACAGGCCAUCACAAGACAUGAAUGUUUUGGACCUUCUCUUGGGCCCUAGUAAACAGAAAUCAGGUACGCAAAAGGGGUAAGCAUAUAAUUUCCUUUAUUUUUAUUUUUAAUGUGUAAGCCUUAGGUUUUUAUUUAUUUAUUUGGUGAAGACAAUCACAUUGUGUACGUACAAUGUAAUUAUAUUGUUGACGAGAAGUUACUUAAAAUUUUUUAAAAAUUCUAAUCGAUUUCUAGAUGUCCAAAUGAGAAGAUAGCAUUUAUAUACCAUCAGAACAUAAAAUAAUUCAAAAAAAUAAAUUUAUAAAACAAUAUGUAUUAUAUUGAGAGAAAGAGAGGGAGAGAGUAUUGGAAGAAUAUAUGCAAAUACAAUGUGAUAAUGUGAUGUCUUUGUGAGAAUGCUAUAUGUCAUUUUCUUUGUUUAUAUGAAUUUUUACAAUUUUUACCUUUGAAAUAUAAAAAAGAGAGAAUAAAAGUCAUUGAAAAAAUCAAAAG